rfam:Clostridium asparagiforme DSM 15981 genomic scaffold Scfld5, whole genome shotgun sequence.
GGACCUUUAGCUCAGUUGGUUAGAGCAACCGGCUCAUAACCGGUCGGUCCUGGGUUCAAGUCCCCGAAGGUCCA